UAGCCCGGCGAAAGUCGGAUUAAUACCCCAUAAAACAGGGGUCCCGCAUGGGAAUAUUUGUUAAAGAUUCAUCGCUGAUAGAUAGGCAUGCGUUCCAUUAGGCAGUUGGCGGGGUAACGGCCCACCAAACCGACGAUGGAUAGGGGUUCUGAGAGGAAGGUCCCCCACAUUGGUACUGAGACACGGACCAAACUCCUACGGGAGGCAGCAGUGAGGAAUAUUGGUCAAUGGCCGAGAGGCUGAACCAGCCAAGUCGCGUGAAGGAAGAAGGAUCUAUGGUUUGUAAACUUCUUUUAUAGGGGAAUAAAGUGGAGGACGUGUCCUUUUUUGUAUGUACCCUAUGAAUAAGCAUCGGCUAACUCCGUGCCAGCAGCCGCGGUAAUACGGAGGAUGCGAGCGUUAUCCGGAUUUAUUGGGUUUAAAGGGUGCGUAGGUGGUGAUUUAAGUCAGCGGUGAAAGUUUGUGGCUCAACCAUAAAAUUGCCGUUGAAACUGGGUUACUUGAGUGUGUUUGAGGUAGGCGGAAUGCGUGGUGUAGCGGUGAAAUGCAUAGAUAUCACGCAGAACUCCGAUUGCGAAGGCAGCUUACUAAACCAUAACUGACACUGAAGCACGAAAGCGUGGGGAUCAAACAGGAUUAGAUACCCUGGUAGUCCACGCAGU
rnacentral:rRNA from 1 species